rnacentral:rRNA from 1 species
CACGUAGGGUGCGAGCGUUGUCCGGAAUUAUUGGGCGUAAAGAGCUCGUAGGCGGCUUGUUGCGUCAGCUGUGAAAACCCGCAGCUCAACUGUGGGCUUGCAGCUGAUACGGGCAGGCUUGAGUCGGUAGGGGAGCCUGGAAUUCCUGGUGUAGCGGUGAAAUGCGCAGAUAUCAGGAGGAACACCGGUGGCGAAGGCGGGUCGUCUGGGCCGAUGACUGCGUGAGGAGCGAAAGCGUGGGGAGCGAACAGG